UGUUUACAGAAUGACUGAACUUGCUAAGCGGCAAAAUACAGAGUGCACUGAGACCAAGAAAAGUCAAUCAUCAACCACUCCUGUUGUUUUAAAAUAGACUUAAUAUGCUUUUAAAAGAGUAUUAUUUCAAUAAAAUAAUCCACAAAUAAAUACAAAACAAAAGGGCAAAUGUAGAGACAUAUUGCAAGUAAGCAUGCAUACCAAAAAGGUAAGUGCAAAUUAGAUUUGAAUAUUCAUGAGUCACAAAUCAUUGACAGUUUGAAAUAAUGCAAAACAGCUUUAUAAAUGAGGUUAAGGCAAGGGACAUCAAAGAAAUGCAUCGUUAAAUCAAUAGCAGUUUGUGCAUAUACUUGUAAAUUGCGGUUACAAGUUUUGUGACAUGGGAGAAAAAAUACUGUGUAUCUGAUGGAGGAAGACACAUAAAUAUUCCUUUUGUAUAUUGUAUUUUUGCAAUUCGUCAUGUACUUGGAGCCCAGCCAGGUAGAGAGUGGUUGGACAUCAUAUUCCCUCACCAAGACAGAGUUUUCUUUUCAGAGACAGAGUGUCAGGCCUAUGCCUGAAGAGCGCUUGCUUGCUCUGCUAAACAAUUCAACAUGCAGUGACUUCUGUAGAGUUGCUUUCCAAAAUAAAGAUUAGCAUCUAGCACACAUGACUUUAGAGGCUGGUCAACUUUAAAUCUCUUCACAGUAAAAUAACUUCAAUUGUAGAGCAUACUGUCUAGUGGUUGUUUUCCUAUUUGGCAGGGAGCAGAUGAAUUCAAAGUAUAAGAACAAUUUGUAAAAAUACUUUGGAAUGAUUAGAGAUGUGUAGCCAUUACUUUUAAAGGCAAAAACUGCAACUUUGCACC
rnacentral:lncRNA from 10 species